rnacentral:rRNA from 1 species
GAUGAACGCUGGCGGCGUGCCUAAUACAUGCAAGUCGAGCGAACAGACGAGGAGCUUGCUCCUCUGACGUUAGCGGCGGACGGGUGAGUAACACGUGGAUAACCUACCUAUAAGACUGGGAUAACUUCGGGAAACCGGAGCUAAUACCGGAUAAUAUAUUGAACCGCAUGGUUCAAUAGUGAAAGACGGUUUUGCUGUCACUUAUAGAUGGAUCCGCGCCGCAUUAGCUAGUUGGUAAGGUAACGGCUUACCAAGGCAACGAUGCGUAGCCGACCUGAGAGGGUGAUCGGCCACACUGGAACUGAGACACGGUCCAGACUCCUACGGGAGGCAGCAGUAGGGAAUCUUCCGCAAUGGGCGAAAGUCUGACGGAGCAACGCCGCGUGAGUGAUGAAGGUCUUCGGAUCGUAAAACUCUGUUAUCAGGGAAGAACAAAUGUGUAAGUAACUAUGCACGUCUUGACGGUACCUAAUCAGAAAGCCACGGCUAACUACGUG